CCCUAUGGGGUGCAGCAGUCGAGGAAAUUCUACAAUGCUCGCAAGAGUGAUAGAAUAAGUCAGAGUGUUCCAUUUAAUGGAACUUUUGUCUACUGUAAAAAGGCAGACGAAUAAGGACUGGGCAAGACCGGUGCCAGCCGCCGCGGUAAUACCGGCGGUCCAAGUCGUAUCCACAUUUAUUGGGUCUAAAACAUCCGUAGCUUGUUUUACAAGUUUCUUGUGAAAUCCUGUGUCUCAAGCAUAGGGCGUGCAAGAAAUACUGUAUCACUAGAGACCGGAAGACGUAAAGAGUACGAUUAAGGUAGCGGUAAAAUGUGUUAAUCUUAAUUGGACUAACAAUGGCGAAGGCACUUUACGAGUACGGUUCUGACAGUCAGGGAUGAAGGCUAGGGGCGCAAAAGGGAUUAGAUACCCCUGUAGUCCUAGCAGUAAACACUGCUCACUAAACAUUAGUACCUCCUCGAGAGGUAUUGGUGCUGCAGAGAAGUCGAAGAGUGAGCUACCUGGGAAGUAUAGUCGCAAGACCGAAACUUAAAGGAAUUGGCGGGGAGGCACUACAACCGGUGACGCGUGCGGUUUAAUCAGAUGAUACACCCGUGAACCUCACCAGGACCGACAGCAGAAUGAAAGUCAGUCUAAAGGGCUUACCUGACACGCUGAGAGGAAGUGCAUGGGCCAA
rnacentral:rRNA from 1 species